GGUGCGUUAAACCUCUGCUUAAAGCCCUUUCUCUUCUCUGUGUAUGUGUAAUGUCAUCGAUCGUGAGACGAGCUAGGUCAUCUUCUCUUCCGAACUUCCUCGCAUGGCGCGCUUUGGGUUUCCGCACCAUCUGCUCCGGCGGAUUGGGCAUCGCGCCGUCUAGCUCGCCGCCGGCCUCCACGGGAAUCAAAAUUCUGGAGUCGUUUAAGGAGGAAUUCGAAGUCGGAUCUCGGGUGGUGACGCUCGAGACGGGGAAGAUCGCUCGCUUCGCAAAUGGUUCCGUCGUGCUGGGGAUGGACGAGACCAAAGUUCUCUCCACCGUUACUUGUGCCAAGUCUAAAUCUCCUGGAGAUUUCUUGCCUCUCACUGUUGAUUAUCAAGAGAAGAUGUUCGCUCAAGGUUUGAUUCCUAAUACGUAUAUGCGAAGAGAAGGUGCACCUAAAGAGCGGGAACUGUUGUGUGGCCGCCUCAUUGAUAGGCCAAUCAGACCAUUGUUUCCUUCUGGGUUUUACCAUGAGGUUCAGAUAAUGGCAAAUGUUCUAUCAUCGGAUGGGAAGCAGGAUCCAGAUAUACUUGCAGCUAAUGCAGCAUCGGCUGCGCUCAUGCUGUCGGAUGUUCCAUGGGGGGGACCCAUUGGAGUCAUCAGGUUAGGAAGGAUCGGUGGGGAGAUUGUUGUGAAUCCAACUAUGGAUGAGCUUAGCUCAAGUGAUCUUCAUUUGAUAUACGCUUGCACAAGGGAUAAAACUAUGAUGAUUGAUGUUCAAGCCCGUGAAAUCACUGAGAAAGAUCUAGCAGCUGCUCUGAGACUUGCUCAUCCAGAGGCUGUUAAGUACAUCGAUCCCCAAAUUAGAUUGGCUGCGAAAGCUGGGAAACAAAAGAAGGAGUAUAUAUUGUCCAUGCUUUCUGAGAAAACUUUAGAAAAAGUGACUGACUUGGCUGCAGAGCGUAUUGUAUCCGUCUUUACCGAUCCUUCACGUGGCAAGUUUGAACGUGGAGAGGCUCUAGAGAACAUUGGAAAAGAUGUGGAAAAAGUAUUUGAAGAAGAGGGCGAUCAAGAAAGCUUGAGCAUACUUCCAAAGGCUGUUGAUACAGUGAGAAAGAAGAUAGUUCGUUCAAGGAUGAUAUCAGAGGGAUUUCGGGUCGACGGCAGACAUCUUGAUGAAGUUAGGCCCAUCUAUUGUGAAUCGCAUCACCUGCCUGCCUUGCAUGGGUCAGCACUUUUCUCACGUGGAGACACUCAGGUGCUCUGUACUAUCACACUUGGAGCCCCAGGAGAUGCACAAAGGUUGGAUUCUCUUGUUGGCCCACCGAAGAAGAAAUUUAUGCUUCACUAUACCUUUCCUCCGUUUUGUACAGAUGAAGUUGGAAAAAAACUAGGCCUUAACCGGCGUGAAGUUGGUCAUGGAACACUUGCUGAAAAGGCAUUGCUUGCAGUCAUGCCCCCUGAAGAAGAUUUUCCUUAUACAGUUCGUAUAAAUUCAGAAGUUAUGGCUUCAGAUGGAUCCACGUCUAUGGCAAGCGUUUGUGGAGGCAGCAUGGCGUUAAUGGAUGCCGGAAUUCCUCUGCGAGCUCAUGUUGCAGGAGUCUCCGUUGGUCUUGUCACUGACGUUGAUCCAUCAAGUGGAGAAAUUAAAGACUACCGUAUAGUAACCGAUAUAUUGGGUUUGGAAGAUCAUCUAGGAGAUAUGGAUUUCAAGAUUGCGGGCACAAGAAAUGGUGUGACGGCAAUUCAACUGGAUAUCAAGCCAGCCGGAAUACCAUUGGACAUAGUUUGUGAAUCAUUAGAAAAUGCACGUAAAGCCCGUCUUCAGAUUCUUGACCAUAUGGAGAGAGAAAUUAAUUCCCCACGAGACCAGCAAUGCCGGCUAGCAACUUUGAAGUACACCAACGAUGCACUUCGUAACUUGAUCGGACCUAUGGGUGCCCUCAAGAGGAAGAUUGAAGAGGAAACAGGUGCAAGGUUGUCUAUUGAUGAUGGAACAUUAACUAUUGUUGCCAAGAAUCAGGCUGUGAUGGACAAGGCUCAAGAAAAGGUUGACUACAUCAUUGGUCGCGAAAUAGUUGUUGGUGGCGUGUACAAAGGCACAGUGACAUCUAUAAAAGAGUACGGCGCAUUUGUUGAGUUUAAUGGUGGUCAACAAGGCCUACUACAUAUGUCUGAGUUAUCUCAUGAACCAGUCUCCAAGGUUUCAGAUGUAUUACAUAUUGGCAAGUACAUCACUAUGAUGUGCAUAGACACCGAUGUCCGUGGUAACAUAAAGUUAUCCCUCAAAGCACUGUUACCCAAACCAACAUCUCGUCCUGAAAAACUCCCGGUGGUGAAAGAGGCAGUCUCCGUAGAAACGUCUAGUUUCGGGGAGGCAGUUGCAAGCCUGCCCAGUGUCGUAGAGCCGCCUCAGAAAUCUAAAUUAGCAGUUCCUGCAGUUGUCAUCCGUACUGCUGUGGAAUGUGAUGAGGCAGAGAAAUCUUCUCAUGUGGACAAGAACACUAAACCUAAAUGCGCCGCGACAGUGAAGCCAGACCGGAAACUCAAAUCCACUGCCUCUAAACAGACCGUGAAGGAAGAUGAGACACUCAGCUCCACUGCUACUGAAGAAAGUCGGGAUGACUGUGGUGAGACACUGACGCAAGAAAAUAAACUCAAUUGCACUUCUCUUGAAAACAAUUCUAACAUAGUAUCAUCUUCAAAAGGUAAGAAACCCUCUAGGAAGGAGAAACAAUCAGAUAACGAGGCUGGAGAGAGUCCAUCGAUUAGUGCCCGGAAACUGAAAAUAGGAACAGAAAUGACAGCCAAAGUCCACCAGAUUCGAACGCAUGGACUGGUUCUUGAUCUAGGUGGUGGAAUCCGCGGUAUGUACAAAUUCGAGGGCGAUGAGGAGACAGAGUUUGAGAUUGGAGACACAUUGCAGGUGAAAUGUACAAGUUUUAGCAGUAAAGGAAUCCCUGUGAUGGCUUUGGUUGAUGAAGAAGAUGUUUAAUGGCUGAGUAGUCUUGUAGUUUGGCCUUGGUUCGGCUUAGUUGUGAGAACUGGAGAGUAGGAUCGAGGAGGAAUUGAACCAGACCGGUAAUUUUGGCGUACCGUUUUGUCUCUAUACUUUUUUUUUAGCAAAUAUGAACAAAUAAAAAGGAUGUUUAUCAAGGAUUAUCAGAGAGUAUUUAGGUAGGUGACGCUCUUCCCUUGUAAACAUGAUGGAAUAUCAAUCAAUGACCAUAGACCAGGAUGUGUAUUAAUGUUUAUUUGAAUCUAGACAUAUUAAAAACUUUC